CACGAAGAAAUAAUGGGAUUUCUUGAUUUCUAGAAAUCGAAAAGAAUUUUCAGAAAUUCACUUGCAAUGUAAUAAGAGUUGAGUUUUUCAUUACAAAAAAAAUUCUUUCAUACCAACAAUUAUAUAUUAUGGCGGACUCUAAUCUAAAUAGGGUUCUUCGGCGAAAAAGGGUCAGAAUGAGGAAAUGGGAUGAUCCAGAUUUAUCAUGGCUAUCCAAGAAUUUCCAUCUUUGAAUUAAGGGU